UACGUAGGGGGCAAGCGUUGUCCGGAAUCAUUGGGCGUAAAGAGCGUGUAGGCGGUCCGGUAAGUCGGCUGUGAAUGUCCAGGGCUCAACCCUGGGAUGCCGGUCUAUACUGCCGGACUAGAGUUCGGAAGAGGCGAGUGGAAUUCCCGGUGUAGCGGUGAAAUGCGCAGAUAUCGGGAGGAACACCUAUGGCGAAGGCAGCUCGCUGGGACGUUACUGACGCUGAGACGCGAAAGCGUGGGGAGCAAACAGG
rnacentral:rRNA from 1 species